rnacentral:rRNA from 1 species
GAUGAACGCUGGCGGCGUGCCUAAUACAUGCAAGUCGAGCGAACAGACGAGUAGCUUGCUCCUCUGACGUUAGCGGCGGACGGGUUAGUAACACGUGGAUAACCUACCUAUAAGACUGGGAUAACUUCGUGAAACCGGAGCUCAUACCGGAUAAUAUAUUGAACCGCAUGGUUCAAUAGUGAAAGACGGUUUUGCUGUCACUUAUAGAUGGUUCCGCGCCGCAUUAGCUAGUUGGUAAGGUAACGGCUUACCAAGGCAACGAUGCGUAGCCGACCUGAGAGGAUGAUCGGCCACACUGGAACUGAGACACGGUCCAGACUCCUACGGGAGGCAGCAGUAGGGAAUCUUCGGCAAUGGGCGAAAGCCUGACGGAGCAACGCCGCGUGAGUGAUGAAGGUCUUCGGAUCGUAAAACUCUGUUAUUAGGGAAGAAAAAAUGUGUAAGUAACUAUGCACGUCUUGACGGUACCGAAUCAGAAAGCCACGGCUAACUACGUG